rnacentral:rRNA from 1 species
GAGUUUGAUCCUGGCUCAGGACUAACGCUGGCGGCGUGCCUAACACAUGCAAGUCGAACGAGUUGUUUAUAGUAGCAAUAUUGUGAACAGCAAGUGGCGAACGGGUGAGUAACACGUAGAUAAUCUGCCUUUCAGACGGGGAUAACUCAGGGAAACUUGUGCUAAUACCCGAUGAGACUACGAGGGGGGACCUUCGCAGCCAAAGGUGGGCGAAAGCUCACGCUGGAAGAUGAGUCUGCGUCCUAUCAGCUAGUUGGUGGGGUAAAAGCCUACCAAGGCGAAGACGGGUAGCCGGCCUGAGAGGGUGAACGGCCACACUGGGACUGAGACACGGCCCAGACUCCUACGGGAGGCAGCAGUGAGGAAUUUUCCGCAAUGGGCGCAAGCCUGACGGAGCGACGCCGCGUGAGGGAUGACGGCCUUCGGGUUGUAAACCUCUUUUAUUAAGGAAAAAGGCAAUCGUGCUAACACCACGGUUGUUUGAUGGUACUUAUUGAAUAAGCCCCGGCUAACUACGUGCCAGCAGCCGCGGUAAUACGUAGGGGGCGAGCGUUGUCCGGAGUUACUGGGCGUAAAGAGCGUGUAGGCGGUUGAAAAAGUCAGGUGUGAAAUUCUUCGGCUCAACCGAGGGACUGCGCCUGAAACUUUUCGACUGGAGUUCGGGAGGGGCAACUGGAAUUCCUGGUGUAACGGUGAAAUGUGUAGAUAUCACGAGGAACACCCGUGGCGAAAGCGGGUUGCUGGACCGAAACUGACGCUGAGACGCGAAAGCGUGGGUAGCAAACAGGAUUAGAUACCCUGGUAGUC